rnacentral:rRNA from 1 species
GUACACUCCUACGGGAGGCAGCAGUGGGGAAUUUUGGACAAUGGGCGAAAGCCUGAUCCAGCAAUGCCGCGUGAGUGAAGAAGGCCUUCGGGUUGUAAAGCUCUUUUGUCAGGGAAGAAACGGUGAGAGCUAAUAUCUUUUGCUAAUGACGGUACCUGAAGAAUAAGCACCGGCUAACUACGUGCCAGCAGCCGCGGUAAUACGUAGGGUGCAAGCGUUAAUCGGAAUUACUGGGCGUAAAGCGUGCGCAGGCGGUUUUGUAAGUCUGAUGUGAAAUCCCCGGGCUCAACCUGGGAAUUGCAUUGGAGACUGCAAGGCUAGAAUCUGGCAGAGGGGGGUAGAAUUCCACGUGUAGCAGUGAAAUGCGUAGAUAUGUGGAGGAACACCGAUGGCGAAGGCAGCCCCCUGGGUCAAGAUUGACGCUCAUGCACGAAAGCGUGGGGAGCAAACAGGAUUAGAUACCCCGGUAGUCCCAUGA